rnacentral:rRNA from 1 species
AAAUGAAUUGACGGGGGCCCGCACAAGCAGUGGAGUAUGUGGUUUAAUUCGAAGCAACGCGAAGAACCUUACCGGGUCUUGACAUCGAGUGAAGAACUAAGAGAUUAGUUCGUCUUCGGACACAAAGACAGGUGGUGCAUGGUUGUCGUCAGCUCGUGUCGUGAGAUGUUGGGUUAAGUCCCGCAACGAGCGCAACCCCUACUGUCGGUUGCUACGCAAGAGCACUCCGGCAGGACCGCCAACGACAAGUUGGAGGAAGGCGGGGACGACGUCAAAUCAUCAUGCCCCUUAUGACCCGGGCUACACACGUACUACAAUGGCGUCCAACAAAGUGGACCGAACUCGCGAGGGGGAGGAAAUCACAAAAAGGCGUCUCAGUUCGGAUUGCAGGCUGCAACUCGCCUGUAUGAAGUCGGAAUUGCUAGUAAUCGCGAAUCAGAAUGUCGCGGUGAAUACGUUCCCGGGCCUUGUACACACCGCCCGU